CUGAUAAGUAAGGACCUAACUACCUGGCCCAGCGUGGUUGGUCUCAAAAAUAAGAUUUAGAGAUUUGGAAGUCAUUAUUUUUCAGUGGGAAACAGGAAGAACAGAGUGACAUUCUUCCUUUCACCUGCAAGAACUUUCUCUGUUGUCCCCAUUUUUCACUACUGUCUGCAUGGUGUAAUGUCUUACCUGUGGAAAUACACAGGCUAGAAGAGUAUGAAUAACACACCAGUGUUUUGGCUACUGCUGAGCUUUUCUCGCACACCACCAUGGCUGUUUCUCCAAACCACUACCACCUGGCCCCAAGCCUCAAAACCUGAGGGUGAGGUUGGAAAAAAACAAUAACUGGAUCUGCAAUUCAUCUGAAAAAUGAUUGUGUUAUUGAUAAGUCAACUCCUGCAUGAAUAGAUAUUCACCUUCAAGCCUCCUUAAUUUGUCCUCAUUUUGGAGAUAUGAUAUGUGUUUUCCGGAUGCAGAGGGGAUACUGGCUUUGUUGCUUCUAU